UCUCAGGUGACUUAGUGGUAAAGAAGCUGCCUCCAGUGCAGGAGACACAGGUUCAAUCCCUGGGUUGGGAA
rnacentral:tRNA from 1 species